rnacentral:tRNA from 1 species
ACAGAUGUAGCUCAGUGGUGGAGCACAAACUUUGCAUGUGUGAGCCCUGGGUUCGAUACCUGGCACCAAUA